rnacentral:miRNA from 1 species
UCCCUACCCCUCCACUCCCCA